CCAUCAACACCGCGGUCCCCCGUCCAGCAUUACAGCUUGGCUGGGAACUUACCGUCCUCCACCCACCAAACAUAAGGAUCCAGCUUCCAGUGGGUGAACCUCUCCUACUCCAGAGAGCAUAGCAGGAACAGCUCUUAAAAGAUCUACUGAUUAUAAUCCCAGGGGAGUAUAGUGAUAUAGCAAUCCCCAGGGUAGAUACAGCCGUUUCCCC